GGUUUUUGAGUGUUGGCUUCACCCGGCUCGUUACCGGACUCAACCGUGUAAAGAUGGGUCGGGUUGUCGUCGUCGGGUUUGUUUCUUUGCUCAUACUCCUGACCAGCUCCGUCUCGUAAGCUCUACUGAUACUUACGACGGUUCACCUUGUGGUAAAACGCUGACGUUUUGGUCUUCACCUGGUUCUGCCUCACCUCCGGUAAGUCCCCGUGCCGAGUCUUGCUCUUCCCCUCCGGUCUCGCCGAUGGCUCAGUCGCUAAGCCGUUCUCUCGGUUCGGCUUCCAUUAACGAGAUGGUGACCUCUUUAAGGAACUUACAGCUAGGAAAAGGCAAGUCCUGGAAAACCCAAGUUGGCUGUUGCU
rnacentral:lncRNA from 1 species